AGAGAGAGACAUGCGCGCAUAUCAAUAAGCGGAGGAAAAGAAACUAACAAGGAUUCCCUUAGUAACGGCGAGUGAAGCGGGAAGAGCUCAAAUUUGAAAUCUUCAAGGUUUUACCUUGACGAAUUGUAGUUUAAAGAAGUGUUUUCUGCUGAAGUUUUGGUAAAAGUUCUUUGGAAUAGGACAUCAUAGAGGGUGAGAAUCCCGUAUUUGACCAUUAUUUUCAGCUUUGUGAUACACUUUCAAAGAGUCGGAUUGUUUGGGAAUGCAGUCCAAAAUGGGUGGUAAAUUUCAUCUAAAGCUAAAUAUUGGCGAGAGACCGAUAGCGAACAAGUACCGUGAGGGAAAGAUGAAAAGAACUUUGAAAAGAGAGUUAAACAGUACGUGAAAUUGUCAAAAGGGAAGCGUUUGACACCAGUGUUGUUUUCUCGAAAAUCAAUUAAAAAUGGCUCGAUUUUGUAUUGCUUGAGACCUUAAAAGCUCACUGUACAUUUUUCGUGUCUUUUUUAAUGCACUUUUCGUUUAACAAGUCAACAUCAGUUUCUUUUGUUGUAAAAGGGUCAUUGGAAGGUGGCUUUCUUUUCGGAGAAAGUGUUUAUAGCCUUUGGCCUCUGCAAUCGGAGAGACUGAGGUCUGCAGCGUAGACUCUUCGGGGUUAGAUACAUUUGUGCUGAGUUAUAGCUUUUUAUAGACAACUUGUUGACUAUAAUUAGUCCUUGUAGCUUACUCGCUUAUGCUAUUUUACCUACGCUUAGGAUGUUGAAGUCAUCGUAUCGCGC
rnacentral:rRNA from 1 species